rnacentral:rRNA from 1 species
UACAGGGGGUGCAAACGUUGCUCGGAAUUAUUGGGCGUAAAGCGCGCGUAGGCGGUUUGUUAUGUCGGAUGUGAAAGCCCUUGGCUCAACUGAGGAAGUGCAUCCGAAACUGGCAAGCUAGAGUAUGUAAGAGGGUCGCGGAAUUCCCGGUGUAGAGGUGAAAUUCGUAGAUAUCGGGAGGAACACCGGUGGCGAAGGCGGCGACCUGGGACAAUACUGACGCUGAGGUGCGAAAGCGUGGGGAGCAAACAGG